rnacentral:rRNA from 1 species
UACGUAGGGUCCGAGCGUUGUCCGGAAUUACUGGGCGUAAAGAGCUCGUAGGUGGUUUGUCGCGUUGUUCGUGAAAAACUCACAGCUCAACUGUGGGCGUGCGGGCGAUACGGGCAGACUAGAGUACUGCAGGGGAGACUGGAAUUCCUGGUGUAGCGGUGGAAUGCGCAGAUAUCAGGAGGAACACCGGUGGCGAAGGCGGGUCUCUGGGCCGAUACUGACGCUGAGGCACGAAAGCGUGGGGAGCAAACAGG